rnacentral:lncRNA from 1 species
UAUAUAUGAUCGAUAGACGACCGAUCACACGUACUCUCAUCAGAAAAUUAAAAGGUUUAAAAAGAAAAGGACAUGCAUAUACUACACAUGCAUGCACAAGCAGAUUAUGUGUAAUAACCUAACCCAUGCAUGCAUGCAGAUUAUGCAGAGCAACAACGAACGACGACAUACACACAUAUAUAGUAUGAGCGAUCAAAUUAGAGCAAAUCAUAAUGCUCAUGCAUUUUAAUAAAAUUAAGCGGGGCAGGUGAAGUCCGCGGGGCAGAUCUUGCCGCAGUGGUUGAGGAGGAGGGUCAGGUCGACGGGCACGUUGAGGUUGAUGCCCAGGAUGUUGGCCUUGAUGGCGGUGCAGAGGCAGACGGCGGCGUCUAGGUCCACCAGGCCUUCCAGCAGCGGACAGCACUGGUCGUUCUUCGGGGGGAUGCUGAGCUUCAGUAGGUUCAGCACGUUGGCACACACCUCCAGCUUCAGCGCGUUCAUCGGGCACGACCCGCCGCCACCGCCAGAAGGCGGCGAUGGUGGCGGCACCACCGGCGGAGUAGGACAGUACGGCGUGCAGCCAUGCACCAGGGCCAGGACAGUGGAGAGGAUGGUCAGGGCCAGGAACAGGGAAAUAAGCUUGGAUGCCAUUGCUACCGAUCAGAGAGCUAGCUAGUAGCUAUAGCUCUUCAAUCAAAGGGAUUAAGUGUUUCUUUUGAUCGAGCUAGGUGUGUGUUUGGGAUGGCUCUCUUCGGUGGUAUUUAUAGACCAAUUGAGCGAGCAAGUGUGUGGGCGUGCGUGUGAACAUGUGUGUAGUUUGAUAAGGGAGCAAGUGUACGUGUUUUGGAUGCAUGUGAUGUGUGAUGCGAACCCUACAUACGUGUCUACCUGGCUCCUUGCAUUUUUUCUGCAAAUUGCAUGCACGAUUAAUUCAUUAAUUAUAUAUAUGUACAGCUUUUAGCUAGCUGGAGACGACUGGAACAACAAGGAAUUGUUGCCUUAGCUUGUGUCCACUUUUCUUUUUUACAAUGAAAAAGGGCCAAAGUGCCUAAUGGCUAGAAAAAAAGGGAAUGUUGACAAAAGAAAACAUAGUGGGAGAGAUAAAAUAAGGAUAUCAAAGGGUGGAAGCCAAUGAGAGAUGAAUCAAAGAAAGCAAGUUGCCACUAAACAAAAGAAGCAAAUGAAAGUAUAGAGUGAACUAGAUCGAGGACUGCGCUCCUCCUCCCCCCGCUGACGGCCUCCCUGGCCAUCGCCGGUCUUCAACUCCGCUGUUGGUGGGCUCCUUAGCUUGUUCCCUGCUCCCGUUUCGCUCCAUGGCGGGGCUCCUCGCUUGGGGCGCAUCAUGGAGUCGAUUGCUCCCCUAAGGGGGAUGUGACUAGCUCUGGUUGCUCUGUUCACCAGACAUGUGAUCCUUGUUAUUGUGGUCUUCCUGUCGCUUACAAGGUGUGUUCUUGACUCUGCCCCUCGAAUGGAGUUCCCUAGCCUUUCUUUUGAUCCUAGUUUAAAGCUUCAAGAUGAAAUUUGGUAUAAACUUGGGGUUCAUGUCAUUCAUUAUGUGCUGGAUCACGCCUCCUUUCACCUUGUGGUCGCUUUUGGUCGUUGCAAGUUACAUCUUUUCGAAUAAUCUAUUAGGUCCUUGCUGCCGGUCGCCAUUGGUAGCAUCGCUAAGCAGUUCUGUGUGUCCCAACUUGGAGAUCGUACUUUCAAAUUUGUUGUCUCUACCAAAUUGGUUGGCUUCUUUAUCGCCAACCUUUGUUCCUUGACUCGUUCAAGGUCUUCUUCCUCUAGGCUAAUGGAGGUCCCAAUUGGUGCUUUGAGUACAAUCGUUUCUUACUCAAAGAAGCUAGUUUUUUAUCUUCUUCCUCCUCUAAAUCAGGGCGUAGAUCUUUUGUUGAUGUCGUUAAGUCAACAAUUCUCUUUGGUGCUAAUUAAUAUCGUUCCCAUGGGCUCUCACUGUCAUCCUGUCGUCCCUGCUUCUAGUGCCAACACCAUUCCCUUGGGCCUGCAUCAUCGCUCCUCCAUCUCGACAACAAGGCAAUCGGUGCAUGAUCGCCUUAUCUUCCAGAGGGUUGCCGCCCACUCCGCUUCGUUCAGUGAGUUCAACCCCUAGGCAAAACUCUGCAAUCGCUUCCUCUCCUCCUCUCAUUGGCAUGUCAACUGUACGGUGCCUAUCUGGUGCCGCGCUUGCCAAAAGCAAGGUCAAAUUGCCACCUUCUAUCAUUAAUUCAAAUCCCAUGCGAGAUAGUAGUAUCCUUCAAAGGCCAAUGAGGAAAAGACUGCUACUCAAGGACCUGCACUGCCUGGCCUCUUUUCCACUACUCAACCAUCCACGCUUGGCUCACUAGUCUUUAAAUAGUUUGGGGAGAUGGCUCGUGCUUUUGGGACCUGAGUUGGUUAUUGCACCUGAGUUAAUUGUGCCUUGGGGACUGUGCCUUGGGGCUUGAGGCCCAAUACUGUUUGUCAGCCCGAGUCAGACUCUACCUUAUAUGAUGAGUUGGACUCGAUCAUAGGCAACUCUCGAACUCUUCGUCUUCCUACUAUUCGCACCGGUGCAUGGCAACUGUGGUGAGCGAAGAAAGCCCUCCUCCUCCUCCUCCCCUCCUAGCAAUCCACCAGCUCAACUCUGUUGCUCCGAUGGUGUUUCAGCGUGUUGAUCUAGAGCCCUUCAUUCUAGAACACUUGCAGUACGAAGACAUCCCCAACAGAGAGUUUAUGGAGUAUGCAGUGGCCCCAGCCCAAAACCCUUUGUUGUUCCUUGCCAUUUUAAUUAAAUAAUUGUUUUGCUCAUAAUUGACUUGUUAAAUAAUAAAUAAAACUAGUUUAUUUAGUUAACCAAUUAGUAAAUGCAUGUGGUUAAGUCAUGUAAUGACCUUUGCUUACUCCCAUUGUUGAACUUGUGUAAUGGUUAGUUAAACAUCAUGUCUUACUUGACUAGUAUAAGAUAAUGAGUGUUGUUCUCAUAAUAUCCACCUAAUCAUCUUGUAUAUAUAAUUAUUAAAGAUGCUUUAAUUAUUAGUUUCUUAGUAUGAUCAUGAGUUAAGAUGCAUGUUAAUCUUGUAGGUCUAUGAUUAGUACUAACUUGUGGUUAAUAAUUAGAAUACUUUGUGAAGUGUGACUUUAGUUAUACUGCUAAGGAAAGUUGUACUCAACUGUCUUAGCUUGUUUACUUUAUGUAAUGUACUUGUACGUCUUCCAUCAUGCAUCAUGGCAUACAUUCCAUCAUGUUAAAUAAGCAUCAUUUAUUUAUGUGUAGUACAUACGAGAGUGAGAAGAUUCAUGUUGAUCAAGUUUUGGAGAAGGUUCAUCCACCAAUGGUGUUGGUACCAAAUGCCACCUGGACAUGUCAUCUUGGCAAUUAGUGCAAUUAUUUUGGUCUUGAAAUGUGAUCUGGACAUGUUAUAUUGGCAUAUAUACAUGUAUAGUGUCAUUAUUUUGGUCUUGAGAUAUGAUCUGGACUUGUCAUAUUGGCAUAUAGUGUCGUUAUUUUGGUCUAAUGUGAUUUGCGCAUGUAAACCAUUCUAGAUGUGAUCAGGGCAUGUGAACCAUUCUAUGUAUAUAUAUGAUGCUUAAAUAUGACUCUGACCUCUAAUCUAUUGCUUCCUACAGGAUGCAUGCUUGCAAAAUGUGCUCCAAAUCAUUACAAAAUAGAUUAUGUCAUUUUGUCGUUUCAAAAUGUAUCUUCCCAUUAAUCAUGUCCAUAUAUAUAAAAGACUACUGGAUUGUAGUGUCAUUCAUACCAAGGGAAAAUAUGUCUUACACUCAUACACACACCGUUAGUCUCAGUUAACAGAAUGGGGUACAGACUCAAAAAAAUGUGGGCAAACGUACAAAGUCCGAAAAAGAGGGACAAAUGAGCAGUUAGAUGUCAAACUGAGGACAGAAAUGCAAUUCGCCCAUAUAAUUAACUUGUAUAUAACCAACUAAAUUUUCAAAUAUCAUAAUAAGCGCAUACGAGUUCAGGUUCAAGAUGCCAUAUGAAGAUAUUGAUCUGAUUUAAUUCUGCGAUCUAAAUUCGAAAAACUGCUACGAACUAGCCCAAUUUCUUAUUCGAAUUUAUUUUCUACCAGGCGAGGCGCGCGUUAGCUGACUGUUCAGUACUGAAGCUUUACCGGGAAACGAGGGUUUAUGAACUGACCAAAGCUGAUGUAUGAACUAGUUCUUCUCAUGUCGACCUAGACCAUCCAUCAUGCCUUCGUUUCGUCCCGGUCCUAGCUGUCGAACUCCGCGUCACGGACCUCGAGAAGGUAUUCUGGGAGGAGGACGUGCAAUAUACAUUAGCAACACCAACCAAUCUAAAUCAUGAGGAUGUUUUAGCUUGGCAUUUUGACAAUAAAGCUCCACUGCCUGGACAGCUCGAGAUCAAUUCAGAUGGAUCAUUUAUCUAGGAGACGUUGCAAGGGAGCUGGGGGCUUCAUUAUCCGUGACCAUGAGGGCGACGGGGUACUUGCAGGAGCUGGUCGCCCUGGAUCAAUCCCAGAUGCGUGGACAGCAGAGGCAGCAGUAUGUGCUCAGGCAUUGCAAGCAGCUACAGAUUAUGGUAUAUCGCACGUAUAAGUAGAGGUGGACUCAGCAACGAGAUGACUGACGGAUCGUACGCCAACGAGAGUGGAGCGUCAGCAUCUUCACACAAGGCGAACUGGCGAAGGUAAACCAAUGGAGGUCACCAAUGGCGGCUGCGUUCUUGGCCCUUUUUUUCUUUAUGGAAAAAAUUAGCCCCAGCUAUAUAUAUGUUGAAUGGUCUCUUGGGCUGUAGCUCCGGACGCCACGCACACGUCUAGCCCAUCUGAACAAAUUCUUGUAGCUCUCGAUCGGCCCAAAUAUAACUAUCUUCCACAAAUGAUGCGUAAAGAUGAUCCCAUCUCGAUACAUGCCUUCAAAGCAAACAAGCAACCGUAAAAUGCGAAGAAUUGCUUUGACCAUCCGCAAGAGAUCCAUGUUCCGUCCUAGUGUACAAUGCAAAAAAAGAAAAAAAAUGUUAGUAUUAGUAUAUGCUCGUUGAACAGAACCUGCAACAAAGCGGCUUUUUUUUUUAGAGUUCAAGGCCAUAUAAGCCCCGGCCUUUCGAUUAGAAUAAAAAAACCUAGAGUCAUUACAGCACUGAGUUUAAACCGUAGUGAUCAUCCACCAGGACUAGAUCACUGAAAACAAGAACAAACUACAAAUCCAACAAAAAAAAUAACUAAAACAAAACAGCUGGUGUAACAGCAGCCGAUCUUCAGGCAAGGUUGAGAGAUAUGUUCAGCGAGCUCCACCAAGGAAGUUUUAGAUUGCCCAUCAGGUCUUCAUGUUCCUGAUCACCCUAGGUCACUCCUCUAUGAAACUUGUGAUGUUUAGUCACCCAUAAGGAAGCUACAUAGUAUUGCUCACCUUUGCUUUGAUCUCUCUUGUCGGGGGGCAGAGAAUUCGCCAAUUUAGUAGGAGCAUUUACAUGCUUCUCCAACUAAUUUUCUUAAAACAAAGAUAAUUUCUAAGUUUCCAGAUACACCAGAUCACAGCAUAGAUGAUUGUAUUGACAAGGCAGUGUUUUUUAUUACUUAGACAGAACUUCCCUAUUUCCAUGAUAUUAUCUCCUACUUUACAACCAAGAAUGUUUACAUAAGAUCCCAACACCACCUUGCCACUACACAAUCAAAGAAAACAUGUUGUAUUGUUUCCUUUUCCAGACAAAAAAGACAAUUCUCAUCUUCUACUUUUCUUCUCUUAGCUAGGUUAUCCCUAGUCAAAGCUCUUAAUAACCAACCAAAGGAAAAAAAAAGGACUCUAGGAGGGAUUUUGGCACCAAAUAGCCGACUACUGGAACAAACCCUCUAAAAUUGAUUAUCUUAUAUAUUACCAAACCAUCUCAUCAGCCUCAUUAGAAAACUGCAUUGUAGCUACUAAUGAUGAUAUCGAGCCAAAGAUUAAUAGAGAUCAAGAGAAAACGCUCUUUCUAAAAGUACAUUUCAGAUUAACCCAUACCAAAGGUUAACUAGAGUUUUCCCUUUCUCAUUAACUAUCCUAUAUAGCGGUCAAAAUUGGAUAGCUAAGCUAGACGAACCUAGCCAAUUGUCCUCCUAGAACCUAAUAUUCCAGCCAUUCCCUACUUUCCACUUGUAACCCAUCUCGGCAACUUGAGUUGCAUACAUAAAUCCUUUAAAAAACUAGAAGCCCCACAGCUCUAGUUGAGAAGAUGUUAGGAUUUUCAAUCCCAUACUUAUGGUCUAUCAGCUCUUUCUAGAGCUUAUCUCUAUUUACCUGAUACCUCUUCAACCACUAUGCCAGAAAUGCUAAUUAGUGGCGCGUCCAGAGGAUCAUUAGUGACGCUGAAAAAACACGUCACUUUUGUUACGUCUCUGAUGUGAAGACAUUAGUGACGUGUAAAAACAUGUCACUGAUGUGAACAAACAACGACACGUAUUGAGAAAACAUGUCACUGAUGUGAAAUAGCUGUGAUGUGACGCGUAUUUAAAAACGCAUCACUGGUAUGAAAUAGUUGUGACGCAUAUUGAGAAAAAAUGUCACUGAUGCGAAAUAGUUGCGACGUGUACUGAGAAAACUGGUCACUGAUGACCCUACAUUAAUGACGCGUAUAGCUAAAACGCGUCUCUGAUAAAGAUUUGCAAAAACAAAAAAAAGAUACCUAGAUCAGUGUACAGUUCUGAAACCUAUGUUUCACAAUAUGGUAUAUUUCAUAGCAGUACAUAGAUUUCACACUUCACAAUAAGUUCUCACGAUCAGAAUACAUAGGGAGGCGACCACGAGCGCGAUGAGCAUCGUGGAUGGGGAAGGAGGUGGCCACGGGCGGAGCAUAGUCAGGAGAGAGAUGGUUCUGGAUGGAGGAUCGGGAGGAGACAGCGCUAGUCAGAUCUAGACGAGGGAGACAGAGUCGGCUACAUCUAGGAUGAGGAGCGGCGGCGGAGGAGAUGAGAUCAAGAGAGAGAGAGAGAGAGAGGAAGUGAGAGAGACCCGGGACUGGGAGAGGAGAGAGGUUCGGGGCCCUGGGUGGGUGUGGACGUGAGUUUAUUCAGGCCCUAGAGAAGACGAGAUCACGAGAUCACGAGAGAGAGAGAGAGAGAGAGAGAGAGAGGAAGAUCACCUCAAGAUCAAAAAAAUUUCAAGAUUUCUCGUUACAUUGAAUCUUGCAGUAUAUGUAUGGAAUAUUAAUAUAGAUAAAAAAUAACUAAUUGCACAGUUUGUGUGUAAUUUGCGAGACUAAUCUUUUGAACCUAGUUAGUCCAUGGUUGAACAAUAAUUGCCAAAUAAAACAAAAGUGCUACAAUACCCAAAAAAAUUUCACCUCCUCAACUAAACAAGGCCUCACCUAAUUUUAUAAUUUUUUUAGGUCCAAGGUCCUAUAUCAGUGCGGGGGUUUUGGUUGUUUUCAUUUUUCAUGUCCGGAGGACGUGCGCAGGCAACGAUUCCCUAGCCAAACAACUAAUCGUCUUGUUAAUUUUCUGGCCAGGUAAUCAGUGCACGGCUCAAUAUGAAGAGUCAUACCACAAUAUGAUUAACGCGCGUGGACAUUACGUGUCACUUUUAAUACUAGUGACGUGUUUUGUUGGGACGAGUCACUAAUAUCUCUCAUUAUUAGUGACGCGUCUACGUAAAACUCGUCACUUUUGCUACCAGUGACACGUUUUGUUGGGAAGAGUCACUAAUACAACCACAUAUUUGUGACGCGCUUAGUUAAAACGCGUCACUUCUGACGCGUUUUCUUGAGAAAAGUCACGGAUACCUUCUCGUUAGUGACGCGUCUUGUUCCUAGGACAUGGGCAAAAACUUAGCAGCGACGCGCUUCGUUCAGCUGCGUCACUAAUAUACUUAUUAGUGACGUGUUUUAGUCCUGAGUCACUAUUGAGGUGUCUCCUUUGUGCUUAGUGAACCAAGAAGCUAACAAACUAAUGUUAAGAUCUCUAAGGUUAGGUAGGCCCAAACCCCCCUCUCUUUACUCAUAGACACUAGCUCCCAAUUAGCUAGGUGAUACUUAUGAUUAUCCACAGAAUCAUUCCAGAGGUAGUUUCUCAUAUGAGUAUCAAUGAACUUGAUUGCCCAUUUGGGGAAUUUGAUAAAGGAUAGAAGGUAGACAGGAAUACUUGCUAAGCAUGACUUGAUUAACAUAGCUCUAGCAGCUAAGGAAAUAAGUCUCCCCAUCCACCCUGCUAUCUUCUUUAGAAUCUUGUCUACCAAAGGUUGGACAUCUUCUCUACUCAGAUUGUCAUAAUGUAGGGGUAAACCUAGAUACUUAAUCGUGAAGGAUCCUAGAGGGCAAGAGAAAAAAUGUGCUAGUCUAUGAGCUUCACUGUCCUCCAAAUUUAAAGGCACUAGCUCACUUUUAUGAAAGUUGAUUCUCAUACCAGAAAUCUGUUCAUAGCAUAUUAAAACACACUUCAAAUUUCUUAAGGCUGAAUCCCCGGUCUUAUAAAACACAAUAGUGUCAUCAAAACUACUACACCACCGGGUCUGAAAUCCUCUAAGAGACCUCUCACAAGAUUUUUUACCUAUUUCCUUACUUAACAUCUUUGACAACCCAUCUCCAACUAGAUUAAAUAAGAAAGGAGAUAGGGGAUCUCCUCGUCUAAGACCUUUGCCAGUCUUGAAAUAAGAAUUGUCUUCCGCAAUUAUCAUGAUCCCAAUAGAACCCCUACAACAAUCUGCCUAAUCCAGUUAGGGGAUGCUUAGUUCCCCAUAAAAUGCAAAAUGCAAAAUCCUGAAACUUGAAUGGUGGAAUACAAAAUGCCAAAAUUUUUCAGGGGGUGUUUAGUUCCAUCCAUACCAAAAUGCCAAAAAGUAAAAAGCUUGUUUUGUCCUCAUUAAUUGGCACCCAUGCAUUGCAUGCAAACAUGCUGCACGCGCUGCAUGCUGGCAGAAGCUUUGCAGCAAACAAUACAAGCGUUGUCUGCUGCUUGCUCGCGAUUGUGCAACCGGAAGUGAACAAGCACGGGCGGGUGCAGGUGGGGUAGCGAAGGAGCUGCUUUCUGGCCUUUUUUGGGCUGCUGAGGCCAAAAUCCAGAAUGCAAAAUGGUUGCCAUUUUGCCAAAUUUUUUGAGUGGUGUUUAGUUCUAUUAUGGAAAAUAGUGGGCCAAAAUCCAGAAAUUUUUGGCCCAAAUGGGGAACUAAACACCCCCUUAAUCAAUUUAGCAUCAAAGUUCCUAGACUAACAUCUCAAACAAAAAAAAAGUCCAGCUCACCCUAUCAUAUGCCUUUUCAUAAUCUAAUUUGAGAACAACUCCUUUCUCUCGAGAUUUAUUGACACUAUGAACAAUUUCAUGUGCUACAACUACGCUUUCAAGAAUAUAUCUACCUUUAAUGAAGGCAGAUUGAGUCGUAGCCACCAUUCUUUGAACUAAACUGGUCAGCCUAAGGGUGAGAAUUUUUGAGAAAAAUUGAAAGCAGCCUCACUUUAACCUUCCAUGGUAACACAUGGACGACAGAACCAAGCUUAACCGGUAGAAGAGGGUUUCUUUACCAAGGAAGCAACUCAAAAGUCUGAACCGAAUCGAUUUUCACAAUUUCACUGCAAGAACUUCAGUUAAACGUCUCGACUUUACAUAACCCAGCAAGUGGGCCAUCAUCUCAGGGCACCUGGAUGAAUAGAUGGAUGGAUCCAUGGAUAUAUAUAUAUGUCUGCCGCACUUUAUACAUAUAUAUAAAGUUGGUCACUUCCUAGCAGCUACCUAGUUUCCAAAAUCAUCUCAGCAGCCACCAGCAACUUAAGGAUAGUCAUCUACCUUCUACUACUUAUAUAUACACAGCGCGCUUUCGUCAUCAUACUGUAUGCUAUGGAUCUCCAUCCGCGGGUUUCUCCUCCAGCAGCUUGGUGCUGCAGGAAUGCCCUUUGCUGCGGUUCAGUAUCGAUUCUCUAAUCUCUUUGUACUUGUUCAGCUCCUCCAGCGCAUCCGCCGCUGUCCUUGACCUCAGAAGAACGGAAGGCACCCCUGUAGAGCUUGAUGCACUGCUGCCAUGUUCCUCGGUCACUACCCUCUGGAGUGAAGGUUCUUGAGGAACCGGGGCACUAGGGCCUGGCAGUAGUAGCCUUUCCCUGAGGCCAGGGGCAUUCUGUAGGAUGCGCAUAAGAAUACCAAUUGCUGCAUCUGGAGACCUCGUUAAUGAGCCUCCUUCCUGAGAUGGUCCUUGGUCAUCCCUGUCAGAUAUGUCGAUCCUGGAAAAUAGAUGAAGCUCUACAUUAGCUUAUGUCAAAUCAAGAAGUGCAUGCAAAUUAACAAGCACCAAAAAAGUAAAAUGUCAAGAAGAGGUUGCAAAACUGAGGUUGCAAAACUAUUAGAAAUGUUUUGACUGAUCCCACUGUGACCUCACCCAAGAAUAUAAUGGCAAGUGCCUUCAAAAAAAAGAAUAUAAUGGCAAGUCCUGCACAGUCACUAUAUCUAUCCUUGUUAAGGGAUAAACCUGUUAGUGACAAGACUGACCACUAAGCCCCUUAUAUUUAUCUUUAUUAGAUUAACAUGAGACUCCAAUUAUGUCCAUAACUUUAGACCUCAGUAUGACAGGAUUAACCUGUGAUAAUAGAAUACGCUGUACAUUCUACAACCCUCUUGCUUAACUAAACAUCUUAAUUGCUGCUACUAGUAGUUAAUGUAUAGUAAUAUAAGAAACAAUAAGGGAUGUUUAUCUUGCACAAAAGAAACGCUAACUUUAGAUAAAUUAGCCCACUGCCUGCAAUUUGACCCACAAAUUUACAUUCAUAGUCACAGACCAAAAAUUAUAAGGAAUAUUAGGAAAGCUGCAAAGUGGCCACCAUGUGGCUGUGGUAGAAAUGAUAUCUAGCCCCUGUAUUGUGUAGUUCGAAAAAAAAAGGAUACUAAGAUUUUCAACUGUCAUUUCUAAUUUGUAAAUAACAAAGAGGCAGUAAGACUUCAGUCUGGAGCAUGCAAAUGACAUGGGUACUACAAGUCUAAAACUUCAGUCUGUAGUUUUUAAAUGACACAGGGGCACUAAGGCUUGAGUUUGUAGUUUGUAAAUGACACAAGGGUACUACUAAUAACUCUUCUGUGUAGUUUGUACUUUGUAUAAAUACCAUAGGACUACACAAGCAGUACAAGACUUUUUAGCCAAUAGGUUUAUCCACAAAUUCCCGUAUUACUUUAUCUACAAAACAUUGUUAUAGAAGGUGGCCAACACCCAGCUAACCUGCUUAGCACCCGCAAGCACAAUACCGUACUUUCCUCGUAGCCAACGUAGGUGCCCACUUUGCAGCAACUAGGCGUGCCCUAUCACCUACCACUGGUACUGAACUAUUGAACAUUUUCAUUUUUGUGGAUGUAAGUAACGGCAUGCAUGAUAUUUCUACUAAGAGAGCAUGUCUAGAUGUUGGAUGGUAAAUCCUAGUGACUAGUGAACAUCACUAAUUUCUUCCUAAAACUGCCUUGUUCCCCACUGGUACAACUGAUGCAUAGGCAAUACCAAAUUUAAGCAAAGAAAAGCCAGAUUCAAACCAAGGCUGAAACAGAGAUCAGCAGUAUAUAACCAGACUUGUUUUACUGGGAGUCUGGGACUGGGUUCUCCAUUUCCAGGGCUUGCUCUAUACCUGAACCUCAUAAUGCCUAACCCAUAUACACUUUUGUGUUCAGAACCAAGCUAACGACACCCAAAAGUACAUUGGUUUUUCCCAAAAGCUAUACAAGCUACCAACAAAUGUUUUUGUCUAUCCUCUGCCCUCCUGGAUGUCUAAGGGGUUCAGCUCCUCCCAUGUCCCAUGUAAUGUUUCUCACACGACACCCAAGCCUCUCCAGUCUCCAUGUUUUAGAAAUGUUUCUCAAUACAUUAAAAGAAUAUAUGGCAUAUUUCAUGCCUCUAUGUUUGCAAGGUCACACUUAAUCUAAAUGAUGAAAAGUAUUGCCGGAAAAAUUUAAUGCAACACAUAGUAAGCCCCAUCAGUCAACACAACAGAGACAACUGAGCAAGCACAAAAACUAAGGAACCACAGAAAGUAAUAGAAUAAAGGGAGAAAAGGUGAUAUCAUUACAUCUCCAGUAGGUGCUUCAUUUGAAGAACUGGACAACAACACUCUUUAUUUAUCUAGUAGAAGAGGAUGGUUUCAUUUGAAAUAAGGGCAAAACCCAAUCAUCAAAUGUCUAGUGAUAUAGAAAUGUCUGAACUAUAAAUGUUGCAGGCAACCAACAAGCUAACUUGAUAAUAGAGAGAAUAAUAGGUUCUCAAAAGUAAAUCACUCCAACAUAAAACCAUGAUUAGAAAAUGAAAUGCUUAUAAACAGAAACAAUAAUUAAAUCUAACCUAAUGUAUUCUUAACUAGUAUGAUGCACAGAACUAUUCUGACUCAUAAUAUAUAUAGAUACACCUAAUAGGCUAAUACAUAUGUUGCUUCCAACACCCAAACGAAUUCUGCAAAUAGACAAUGGUGCCCUUUUAGUGGGAAAAAAUACUUAUAGAAAGGGAAAAUUUGAUAACUGGACCAAAUACAAAAGCAGAUGGAUCUGAAUGAUCACUGAAACUACACUACAGUAUAGGCAAAAAGGUAGAGAAGCCCAAUCAAGCGACCUGAACUAAUUAAGAUGUUUCUUGUCAUCCCAAUGAAUGCCCUGCUUUCAAUUUAUCAUCUCAAGAAACUAAAACACAAAAAAUGCCAUUGCUCUAUAUCUGCUAGAUGAAAAUAAUCCAGUUUCCCCUAUAGAAAUGUAAAAUCCUAUAACAUGUUAUAUAAAUAUGAAGACUUCUGCUAACAUUAUUGCUUCAAAGGCCUUCUGAAAGCAAAGAUGGUUCAUGACAAAAUUACCUAAGCUAUGUACAUCAGUGGCCACCUGGUGAAUACAAUAACCAAUGUCAUAGCAUUCCCAGAGUAAAAGUAGUGUUAUGACCUACUAAACAAAAAUAUAUGACCUACUAACCAAAAAUAUAAGUUUUCAAACUUUAUCAGACACCUAGGUCAUUUAUUUACACAGAAAAAGCACAUGCAUUCAUGAGGAUAUGAAUGUAAGGGGAUCAAACAUAAACCAAAUGCAAUACAACAGCAGAACAGCAAUUGAAGUGAUGGGUAGCUACUAGGUUAGUCCUUUUGACCAAGGCAUCAUGGCAUAAUGUCAUGAACUACACAUAUUUUCAUCAAGUGAGACAGAAAAGAGAACCUUCUAAGCUGAUCAAUGAUGGUGUCUUUAUCUUCCCAUGCAAAAACUAACUCCCGUUCAUCCAGUUCAUCCAUGAUGAAAAGUUUACUGGAGGUACGAGUCAACUUUAGCCCACGAAAAUACACCAAAUCAUCAUUGCCAAAAGAUAAAACCUGCAGCAAGAAGCAGAACCAGAAAUUCAUAAGUCAGAAAUGAGAUCCAACCAUCCAAGAGAAGAACCUCAUAGUAAAAGAAAGAAUAGUAUUCCUCAAGGUUCACAUUUUGCUGGAGAAGAUCAACAAACAAACAUGUAAUUACCUUUUGCAAAGACUUCUCAUUCUGAAACUCACUAAGCUUGACCAAAUCCUUUGAUACUAUUGAUUUAUCAUUUGGAGAAUGUGUCAGAUUCUCAUUUUGAGAUGAGCAUUGUUGCUUAUCCUUCCUACGUGGAGAAGGAGGCAGCCUGCUACCACCUCCACCAGCCAUCGCUGUGGGAAUACUUAAAGGAGCACUCUCAUAUCGGAAGAAAGGAUUUCUUGGGUAGCUAGAAGGCGAAUGGGAUGGUGAUGGCGACAGAGGUGGUGAUGGAUAGCACUCUUCAUUUACUGUAUUUCUCUUCUUCCCAGACGAUGAUGUGUUAUGUGGAUGUGAGUAUGCUGUCGGAGAAUUAUCGGUCGGCAUACGUGGCUCUAGGCGUCCAUGGGGUUCUGAACUCAUCGGAAAUGGCGAUACCGAUGUUCUAACUCCAUGCCCGGUGCUCCAACUGUGCCGCCUGGUCACUGGAAAACAUGCAGGUGCAAUGCCAUCUGAAGGCAGGGAAUCGAGCUUCCUAAGAAAAUCUGUUGUGGGGCUUCCAACAUAAUCCUUUAUAAGCUCAGGUGGCACCGGUGUGGGUUGCUCUGGUACUGCAGCCAACUCCAGCACUGGCACAUACGAAACAGACAAGCUUAAGGAACCAAACAGAGUUUCAAUCGGAGCAAAUGCAUAGUGUUUCAUCUCUGCAUCCUCAGCGCGGGUGAAUGGCUCAACAAAUGAUGAAAUCUUGUGCGAGAGGCUCAGCGGACAGAUCCUUCCAGACGAAUUGAGCCCCUGGAAGAGAUGGUAUGCUGGCAAGAGCCUGACAACCAGGUACAAUGACCGGAACAACACUGUGGAGCCGCUGUAUGCCCUCCUGUACAAGCUAUGAUCCUGAGAAGAGCUGCUUCUAGCUUUCUUGCCACUGUUCUUGAUAGCAUUGCCAGACCUGCUAGUUUCAUACUUUAUUACCCACCUCUCAAUGAUCCUGCUGGCCCCGACACUGGCGGUUCUGGUAUUGUCACGUUGCACAAGGACAAUGUCAAUGACCAGAAGCUCGAGGUUGCUCUGCCUCCACAGGUCGAAAUUCUCGAGCGCAGCAGGGCAGUCCCGGAGAGCAAGGUUGAACCACCGGUCCCGCGGCUGGCUUCCAGCCAGCGGCGACGAUGGCGGGGAGGGCCGAGUGAAGUUCCGCGACGAAUCAUAGGGCGAGCGUGACUCCAGGAUGAUGUGCAGGCUCUUGGCGAAGAAUUCGGUGAUCACUUGCUCCACCAUCGGCGGUUCCGACACGCCGCCAGCAGCGGCGGCGGCGGCGGCAGCCAUGGCUGUGUGGCUGUCCAGACUUAAAACUCAAGGGCUCAAUUGAAGUCCCAAAACUCCUGAAAAACGAACUGCGCCAGCACCAUGGCUAAAUCGAUCUUGCUCCUCAACCGUAAAGAACAACCUAAUCGGGCUGCUGCAAGUGGAUGGAUGGACUGAAUCAGUAGCAGGGGCGGACCCAGUAAAGGACAUGGGUGUACACAUGUACACCCAAUAAUUUUUGCAAAGCAAUCGAAGUUAGUAGGCAUAUACACCUGUAAUUAGAUUCAGAUCGGAUUACAAAUAGUAUGUUAGGGUUUGGGCGCACGAUUUCUUUUACCUAUGAAUUACAUUAAGGUUUGGGCGCACGAUUUAGCACAGCAGGAAGGGAAGGGAGGACCAACCGACCAAGGGGAGGGAAUACCUAGUGUUCUGGUUGUGCUCGUCGCGGGGCAAACUGGCCAGUGGCGAAGUAGGACAGCAGCGACGGUCGCAGGGACACCGGGGGCGGCAGAGGGCGGACGUCGUGCCGGAGAUGGUCGCGAGGAUGCUGGGCCCCAGCCCCAGGUGGUGCUCGACUGAGCGCAGUCUCCUCCGGCCUCCGGGUUGCGGCGCGGCGCGGCGAGCGGAUGAGGAGAAUAGGCCGCGGCCGCGGGCGAGACGACUCCAGGCGGUGGGCCAAGGGGCGUGCGGGCAAGGGCAAUUUAGUCCAGCUUACCUUCUUGUGGCCAACUUCACGUGCGUCGGUCGUGCCGUCACAUUACAGAGAGAAAAGAUAGAAGGGAAAGAAGAUAUAAUUUAGGCUCUGUUGAAGAAAAAAAAGUUUUGUGUGUUACAUCCAAUGUGUUGGAAGGAUGUCAGAAGAAGUUUUAGAAACUAAUAAAAAACAAAUUACAUAGCUCGUCGGGAGACGACAAGACAAAUCUAUUAAGCAUAGGUGUCACAUCGGAUGUGUCGGAAGGAUGUCGGGAGAAGUUUUUAGAAACUCAAAUUACAUAGCUCGUCGGGAGACAACAUGACAAAUCUAUUAAGCAUAAUUAAUCUGUCAUUAGCACAUAUGGGUUACUGUAGCACGGCUAAUCAUAACUAACUAGGUUUAAAAGAUUCGUCUCGCAAUUUUCAACCAAAUUGUAUAAUUAGUUUAUUUUUUUAUCUACAUUUAAUAUUUCAUGCAUGUGUCCAAAGAUUCGAUGGGAUGGAUGGAAAUUUUUAGGUGGGGAACUAAGCAGGGUCUUAGAUUAAAAAUUAUGAAAUUUUGGAAAUGUGUGAAAUUAUAUUAAUAUGUUUUUAAUAUAUCCUAAAUAGUAAUGAUAUAUCUUUCCAAAUCGUGAUAUUUUAAAUGAUAUGUAUUUAAUUAUAACCUUAAAAAUGCUAUGUGGUAUACAUAGGUGAUCCACCUAGACAUUCUUCAAUGUCUUAUACAUCAACAUAUAUGAUUAUCUUAUUGAAUAAAUAAAAAUAAAAAAGUAUGGACUUAAUGUUAUAUAGAAAUAGAAAUGUUAGACCUAGUCCACCUUACAUAUUGCACCUUAUCUUCCUUAACAUAAGUCAACACUUCAUCUAACCUUAUCCAUCCACCCCUACAGUGUCUCCUCUUGUCCACGCCUCUCACCUGUCGACGCUGCCUCUAUCUCCUUCAGGCUACGAUUGUCGCCUAUGCAACCUCGUGCCCAUCGUCUCUGCCCAUCCUCCUCUCAUCAUCCGCUUGCUGCCUUCAGUUGCACCCAUAGCACGCCUUUCUUCUAGCCGAGUCUGCCGCUAGCCUCCUCCAGGAGGCGAUUAUCGCCUCUACUGCCACCUGUCGUCCCUUCCUCAAGCAACACGGCCUUGAAACUGGGGCACCCCGAUUAUUCUCCGUCCACCCCCUUAGGCAAGAUAGUGUCCCUUCGACUAGCGCAUAAGCAUGCCUAGGCGAGCACCCUAUGGAACAUUAGGACAAGCUCGACCACGAGGGGAGAAGAGGCAGCCGCCACCCUCUGCGAAUAGAUUGAGAGUAGGAAGAAUCGACUAAGGAGAAAGAAAACAGAAAGUAGAAAGACUAUAGGCCGAUAGAUGGAUCCACAUGUCAAGUGUGACAUCUCAUGUUUUUGUUAACAAAUUUCAGGAGCAUCAUGUGUAUCAAAGGAGUGACGUUGAUAUAAAAAAUAUAGGAGAUGAAGGAAGUACAAAACUUCUCACUAUGGUAGGAGGCCAAGAUGGCAAAACAUAAAAGAUUAAAUGCCAGUGCAAAAGAUAUCAAUGUAUAUUUUUGAAACUUUCUAGAUAAAUAUUGAGUAUACAUGAGACAUGUUUGUCAUGUUUCUUCGCAAAAACUAGGAUACUUUAGAUCUAGAUAUUCUUAUAUGAUAAAAAUAUCGAAGAAAUAUAUAAAUAUUAAAAUAUAUUUAAAAAUAUAUAUUUGUAAUAUCAUAGUAACCAUGAGCAGGUAUAAAUAGACGCGUCCAUUGAUGUGUUUCAUUCACAUCUAUAACAAACGACCAUAAAUAAUAGAGUCAUAAGGACAGCUUCAUUCAAGCCCCUACUUAAGAUCGCGUAUCAUUUUAAGAGCUCAAAUACAUGAAAAUCCUCUCAUACCGACCCUAUUCAUCCCUCAAUGGACGAGAACCUCUCACUUCUCUCUUCUAGAUUCUUAGAUGUAGGAUCUUUUUAUGUUUUUUUUAUUCCUCAUUUCUUUUUUCACGUAAAGUUGAACAAAGUUCAAUAUUAAGUAGGAGAAAUUUAAGAAGUCAGUUAAAGUGCACUAAAAAUAGGGGAUGUAAAUUCGAAAACUGUUAAUAAUGUCUUAUACAUUGUUGUUAAUAUUUAUUUAUUAUACAUAGUCAUAAGAUUUGUUAAAAAAUUAUGUACACUCAAUGUUACAAAACUGCGUCCGCCAUUGAUUAGUAGCACUCCAGAAAACAACCUGGUGUACUGGGUUCUCGUGGCCGGCAACGAAGACCUAGGCAGCUGGGCGGCCGCCGCCGCCCUAGUUAUCGUGCUCGCGCACCGCGAGGUGUAAUGGAGAAGAGAAACAACAAGCAGUUGGGAAAGGAAAUUCUUUUCGGGGGUUGUUCCUUGCUUCUCUGCGACGGCGCGCUACUGGGCCGAUUCCUCUUUCUCUUUCUGUAGGUGCACGCUCGUUCAUCCGAGAAAGAGGCCCAUGGAACUCGUUCAUGAGAGAAAGCGGCUCAUUAGAGCAUCUCCAACGGUUUGCCAUUCUAGUUUGGCAUUUGUGUUAUUUGGCAAAAAAGUAAAAAUUACUCCUCCAACGGUUUUGCAAAUGGGUUUGCCAUUUUAGUAAACUUGGCAUUUGAGAGGCUCCCCUUGGCAUAUUUUGGCAUAUUUGGGAGUUGGCUUUUGGAUUGGCAAAUGCUUGCGGCCGGUUUUCCUACGUCAAUUCCGUGCGCGGCCUGGUCUGUUUGGCGUCGUUUCCUUUGUCGGAGGGAGUCCUCGCGCCAAAUAGAGUCCGCGUCGCCAUUUGUUUGCCGCGACUCAAAGACGCAGAUCGAGUCUGCUACGUCGUCCCUCCCUGAACGUGAUUGAAAUACGCCGAUCGAGUCUGCUACUUCCACCAGGAACGUUAUGCAUCACAAGGAAGAUGAAGGCGACGACGAACACGAACCUACGACUGCGAGCGGCGACGCCUCCGUUCGCUCGAAGGGAAACAUGCACGAGGAAACACGCGCGUGUGACAGAAAGACACGCGCAAAGAUUUGGCUGGGUCCACUAGGUAAUUGCCAAGUCUAAAAUGUCAAACCAUUGGGGAUGACCAUAUUUUUUCCUUUGCAUUUGCAAUUGGGAGUUGGCAAACAAUAACAAAUGCCAAACCGAAAUUGCCAAACCAUUGGAGGUGCUCUUAUUCUUUCUCCGUUUCUUUUCCUUUUUUUUCUUUCUUUUUCUUAUAAUACAAAAUUUCCUAUUUUUAUUUUGCUCCCAACUGUAUCAUUGUUAUAACUUGUCACUAAUAGUUAUAUCUAUUUUUUUCAAAUCCACUAGUGAGGUUUUUUUCUCUUCUUCUGUCAAUAACCUAUUUUGUAAAUUGUUAUUGGGUCUUUUAACUUUAUGUUCUGGUUUGGUUUUAUAAUCUUUUUAUUUCACAUAAAUGAGCAUUUUUUUGUCCCAAAUAUGUAGCAUUUUUUUGUGAUGUUGGAACAGAUUUCCUCGUUAUGCUUAUGCUAGAAUAUUGUUUUCCUGAACAUGGAACGUUUUGGUUAUGAAGCUGGAAAAAAAUUCCUAUGAGGCAACAACAUUUUUCUAAUGAAGCUAGAAGAUAUUCUUCACGGAGCUGGAACAUGUUCUAUACUUUUUUUGCAGGAACAUCUUGUUUUUAAGGUAGCACAUUUUCCCGUGAAGGUAUAAUAUUUUUUUUCUAAUUUUAUUUUUAUCUCUUAUGUUAAGAUGACAACUAUAAAAAAAACCCAAUAUGAUAUGGCAAGCAAACACUAGAAAUAUACCCCAGUCUUUCAAUAACUUUAUUCUUUGACAUGCAGACCUUUAACAUGUUGGCAAUUCAUUCCAACAAAGUUUCCCUCAAAAUGAACUAGUGUCAAUGUUUUGUUCUAUCAACUAAUGAGUUAUAAAGAGUCAUGCCAUGUAGCUUAGAACAAUUCUUGUGGUUCCAGGAAUCCGGCUAUAGGCAAACCAGGAACGAGGAGCUCUCCCCUUUUUUACGUCCGACUUUUUGAUUUUAACUUAGACUGUUGGUUUUAAGAACGAGUGAUUGCCUUUGGCUCUUUGAUUGUAGUUAAAGACCACAUGUGUCAUUUCUUGUUGUUGCCAUCUAAAAUUGUGUAGAAAACCCUGCCGAUGGCGGGAGUCAAGAGAAACCAAACUUCCGACGCCUCCACAUAGGAAAAAGAGGUCUGGCUCCUUUCAGCUUCUAGCCAAGAUACAUUUUGUUCAACCCCGUUUGGUAGGAUUCUAGGUGAAGUCAGAGUAGAAAUCCCUUUGGGUGCCAUACCGAAGAGACCUUUGAUCUUUGCGUUUAGGUUUCUUUUCUAAAAAGAACUUAUAAAUUCAUCUUUGAUAUCAUUUUUCCUUUUCCAGAUAUAGCAAUGAGCGAGGUACAAAUAGUAUUGCGCCAAACGAUUAAUAAGGUUGAAAAUCAGACACUCAGCGACCUGCUGCCUCCUGCUAUCUUCCUUUGGCUGAUAAGGUGUUGAUGCAGCAGGACAGAACAAACCACAGAUGCCAGUGCCAGCAUGAGCUGACACGACAUGCCAGAUCGGCAGGGCCGUGAAGCCAAACUAGAAUAGGAUCAGGUUCGUUCUCUUUACAGUUCACUCGAAAUAUAGUUUUCCUCACAGAAAAGCUAAUUGAUAAUAUGUUUUCCCACAAAACAGCACGUAAAAGAGCAAGAUUGACACCAGAUUCACUCAUCAACUUAUCCAUGCACAGUCCAAAGAGACACACAUGCCAGCAAAGGAAAUUUGUUGUUUUAUUGCAAGAUCUACGAGCUCAGACACUUUCCAAAGGUGUCAAGGUAAUGCAAAUCCGAUUCACAAUGUCAGAAGUCGCUUAGCGUCAUCGUUUGUAACACUUCCAAAGUAGAAUCACAUUUAUCAUUUGAGCUUCUUAAAGAGCUUUGGUGCUACCUGCAGAUGCAUGUUUCAUAGAAAAAUUGGUUAUUCUACCUUGGCAAUGCUUUUUCCACAACUAAUUUUAACAAAUGGUAAACUGCAAGCUGCAAUCAAGUACUUACACAUUUGUCAAUGCAUGACCAGUAAUCAAAAUAUUGCCCAGUGCAGUGUUUGUGACCAGUCUCAUCACUCUCAACUCUCUUGACACAUUUCUGAAAACAUACAGUCACCAUUAAAGGUUGAACAAAAAUACUCGUGUGCCAGGCGUGCAUAUUAAAACAAAUGAAAUACUAUUAUCAUCCUAGGGUAAAAUAAAACUAUAUGUAGGCUAAUAUUCAAAAAUCAAAUUAUAGAAGUUUAUUAAUAAGAGUCUAUAACACCAAAUACAGGAAAUUGCAAUGAAGAUUUAUGUAAUUCAAAACCUCCAGCACAAGUUCUGCAUUCCUGAAUUCAAGAACUGUGAGAAAACUUAAAUUUGGCAAGCACCCCAAUAAUGUUAUGCAUGUCAAAAACAGGACCACAUAUCAACCUAUAUUGUUUGAAUCAGUCUACAGAGUACAGACUAAACAUUACAUUGGUUGAACAGCUAGCAAAAGUUGUUAUUCAGAGCAUCCCAUUGUUCCAUCACUUUUGACUUGAUCAGCAAAUCACUAGUAUGCGCGAGUGCAGCUAAAAGAUUCUUGGCACAACUCUCAGAAUGGCAUGACUGUGUUGUCCGACCAGGACAACAGGAGAUGUGGAUACAAGAACAUACUGAAAUAUCAGACCAAUACCACUAGACAAUAUUAGCUCCUGGUAUUUGCCACUAAGAAUAAGCCUAAUAUAAGGCAAAGCAAUGUUACUGCUUGCACAUCUCUGGGUAGUGGAACCAUAGCAUUGGUUAAAACUCAUAUGUUCACAUGGAUGAAUAGAGCAAAUAGGUUGUGCAUGAUCAGUUGAUCCCAUGAACAAAAAAAAACGUUGCCAGCUAAUUUGGUCAGGUAUACAAAGUGUGUUUCGAGUGUCGAUAAAAGCUUCAUCAUGAGAAACUAUUCUGCCAUUUGACUAACUGUAACCAGCUAUUUCUUGAACUUUCAUGAAGGAAAAUAAAUAGUACUCCCUCCGUUUCAAAUUAUCAGACAUUUUGGCUUUUCUAGACACAUUUCUUUUACUAUGUAUCCAAACAUAGUGCAUAUUUAAGUACAUAGCAAGAGCUACGUAUCUACAAAAGCCAAAACGUCUUACAAUUUAGAAUGGAGGGAGUAUCAUAUAGAAACCCUUGUAUCAACUGAAAAAGAAUAUGUUAAAUCAUUGGCCAACAAUGUGCUAAAUUUUGAGCUUCCAAUAAGAAAGAGAGGGCAGACCUCAUACUCAUAAAGCGAUUUUACACACUGUGGCUUGCAUCGUUCCUCAAGAUAUUUCUUCUGAUCAACAAGUUCCUCGUCCUCCCUGAGAUAGAGCAACAUUACAGAAGCAUUGAACUUGAGACAAGAGGGGGAAAAAAAAGGGGGGGCUAGCAAUGACCGGCCCUUGUGCUGUGAAUAACACUUCAGAGUUUGCAAUGUAGGAAUGUACUAAGUAAGCUCACUAACAUUGUGAUUUGCGAAAGAAAGGAUAUCUGCAGAUCCUGUCUGCAACAAGAUGCCUACCGUAAUCUUCUAGAAAAAGUUUGCCAAACAAAUCUCAGUUCUCAACUUAACAGCACGAAAAUGCUCAUAUAUAGAGCAGGGCAUGGCGUGAGGUAUAGUAGCAUUUUGGAGUCAGGCGGUGAAGAAAACAAAUGUACCGAUUCAUUCACCCUCCUACAAUAAAUACCUCAAGCAAAGCAAUAACCCCCAACAUAACAUGGGGCAGUUAAGCUAAUGUGCGACAAUCCUCUAACUAUGACGAAAUAGAACCAUAUUCCUAUGCAUGAAGAUAUGGGUUAGGUACCUCAAUGCUUACCUUACACUACGGUUGAGCGUGCUUGCUAGACGGCAGACGAGAUACAAUAAUUUGACCUACAUUUGGCCGGAUAAACAACUUCCCACCCACAAGCACAAGCCCAGGGUCAGAAAAGCCAAAGCUGUAAUCGAGCUGACACAGCCCACAGCUACGCACGAAAGCAAAAUCUAGCAAGUAAGCUACGCAUCUACCUUACUCUUAAGUCUUAACCCAUCGAGAGCAAAGGGUGAUGUUGCCCCUCUCGUGGCUGAAGCCGCGACCAAUCAGCCGAACACAGCCCCCAGCCAUCCAGCUCGCGGAAUCCUUAUGCGCAACGCAAGGCGUGGGUGUGCAUCCCUAACAGAGCGACGCAGCUGAAACCCGAAAGGAACAGGCGCGUCGCGAGAAGCAGCAGGGGAGCGGGAUUCCGAAGGUAAUGAAGAGCAGAGCGAGAA